AUGGCGAGUUUCGAGGGAUUCGAACCCGUAUUCGGAGAAGUCGUACCCGAACGCUCGGAUCCGGGUUCGGGUCUACUCCGGCGGUGUCUCUUCCACGUCUACGCUUCCGAUUCGUUUCACCUCACCGUCCAUGUGACGGACUUUAUCUCCGGGGCCUGGGAGACGAUCCUCUCCGUCUCGCAGCUAGACGAUAUGAGGGAUACUGUUGGCAUUGGUGGAACGUGGUCUGAGUUCCUCGAUUACACUGUCGCUUCUUUGAAAUCCGAAAACGUGAAGCUUCUCCUUGGUGAUCAUUCAAUUUCCAAAGGUGUAGAGAGUGCGAGGUUAGUUUCUCAGAAGGCCAAAGGAAUGCCUCGCAUAGUUGUUACUCUAACAAAGAUGGCUGAAUCAUCUGCUAGUGAGGCAAUGGCAACUCUGUCUCUCGAGUUGUUCAGAUCAUUCAAGAGAAAGCAACACUUACAAGGGGAAACGAGCACUUCAGCUGCGGCAACUGAUGAAAAGGAUAAGAGGGACGCUUCCCAUAACCAACCGGAACGAUACUCUGGAAAACUAGAUGUUAUGGCUCCAUCAAUAGAUAACCGGCAAGACUCUCCCGCCAAGCAAUCAACUCGAGAAGCUAAUAUAAUAAAGCCUUCUAAACGAGUGCCUGCUCACCGGAGAACCCGUAAACGAGGUGCUCUUCUGCAGGACUCAGAUGAAGAGGACGGCUAACGCUCUGGAUCUCAUGGGGAGUUACGCUUAAUGCUCUUAUUAAUUUCCCAGUGUUUCCUCCAAGCACAAAUUAUUACGUAUCCAAGAUAUGAACAAAGCAUACACACCAGUUACCAGUUCAGACACAUACAGAUAGAGUACAGUUUGGGUUGUGCGUUUCAGAAAUGAGUUUCUCCUCUUCCAUGGCUUCUCUGACUGCCUUCAAAACGCAUGGCUUGAGUUUCUUGGUGG